rnacentral:rRNA from 1 species
UGGCGAAAGGGUUAGUAAUAGAUAGGUAACGUACCCUGAGCUUCGGGAAAGUGUCAGUUGCUUCGGCAACUUUCCGAAAGGGGCAGUAAUACCGGAUAAUAUCAUUUGUUGAUGGGCAAAUGAUCAAAGAUUUAUCGGCGCAGGAGCGGCCUAUCUCCUAUCAGCUAGUUGGUGAGGUAACGGCCCACCAAGGCAAUGACGGGUAGCGGGACUGAGAGGUUGACCCGCAACAUCGGGACUGAGACACUGCCCGGACCUCCACGGAGGGCUGCAGUAACGAAUAUUGGGCAAUGGGCGCAAGCCUGACCCAGCGACGCCGCGUGUGGGAAGAAGUCCUUCGGGAUGUAAACCACUGUCAGGGGUAAGAAAGUCCGCUUCGGCGGAUUGAUCUCCCCCAGAGGAAGUCACGGCUAACUUCGUGCCAGCAGCCGCGGUAAGACGAAGGUGGCGAGCGUUGUUCGGUGUCACUGGGCUUAAAGCGUGUGUAGGCGGAAAGGAAAGCGUCUUGUUAAAUCCCUCGGCUUAACCGAGGAAUCGCUGGGCGAACUUCCUUUCUUGAGGCAAGUAGGGGUGCAUGGAACUCUUGGUGGAGCGGUGGAAUGCGUAGAUAUCAAGAGGAACGCCGGUGGUGAAGACGGUGCACUAGGCUUGUUCUGACGCUGAGACACGAAAGCGUGGGGAGCAAACGGGAUUAGAUACCCCGGUAGUCCACGCCCUAAACGAUGUCUACUAGGUUGCGGCAGUUCUGACACUGGCGUGGCCGAAGCAAAAGUGUUAAGUAGACCGCCUGGGAAGUACGGUCGCAAGGCUAAACUCAAGGAAUUGACGGGGGCUCACACAAGCGGUGGAGCAUGUGGAUCAAUUCG